rnacentral:rRNA from 1 species
AUUGAACGCUGGCGGAAUGCUUUACACAUGCAAGUCGAACGGCAGCACGGGAGCUUGCUCCUGGUGGCGAGUGGCGAACGGGUGAGUAAUGCGUCGGAACGUACCGAGUAAUGGGGGAUAACGCAGCGAAAGUUGUGCUAAUACCGCAUACGCCCCGAGGGGGAAAGCAGGGGAUCGUAAGACCUUGCGUUAUUCGAGCGGCCGACGUCUGAUUAGCUAGUUGGUGGGGUAAUGGCUCACCAAGGCGACGAUCAGUAGCGGGUCUGAGAGGAUGAUCCGCCACACUGGGACUGAGACACGGCCCAGACUCCUACGGGAGGCAG